rnacentral:lncRNA from 1 species
UAAAAUCCAGAAAAUAAAAGAGAAAAAAAAAUAAAAAUCACAAUCUCAAAAAAGAGAAAGAGAACUCAAAACCCAAAAAAUAAAAGAGAAAAACAAAACAAAAAUCACAAUCUCAAAAAAGAAAAAGAGAACUCAAAAAUCAAAAAAGAAAAGAGAAAAUCAAAACAAAAAUCAGAACCCACAAAAGAACGAGUUGUUCUUAGAGAGAGAGUUAUUGGAUGAAG